rnacentral:lncRNA from 1 species
GAGAAACAGCAAGGAAAGGGAAGGUGUCAGGAGUUGUUGGACUAUGAUUCCAGGGACUAAACUCUCAGGAUUCUGGUCUCUUCACCUCCCAAUGCUUGGCGGUCGGAUUUACCCUCGACCCUGGGAGCCUGCCCUUAGCCUACAGUCAAAUAGCUCCCUUUUUCCUUUGGACUAGUUUAAAUUGUGUCUCUGUCGCUUCCCGUUCAGAGGAAUACACACUCCAUUUGCCAGGCUCCCUUUGUGGAAUUCACCGGCUGGGAAGGUUGACCUGACCACUUGCUUUGUGAGCAUGAGGAAUGGAGGACACAAACCACACUCAAGAAGGUCUUCCUGAGUGCUGAAGGUCAAUCAACUAGAACUUUCUCAAGCUUUUAGAGGAGUGGAAUUCUGGAAACAAAACCUCUUCCCCGGGAGCGGCCGUCAGCAGUAGGUUCCUUUCCAGAGUCUCCUAUCUCAGCGGCAAGACUAAAAACUCAACGCAUCAUUCUAGCUGCUCGUUGUUGGGGAAUAUUAUUUUAAGAAUGCACCUGACUCUCACUUCAUGGGCGUCGUCACCCACGGUGCCUCUCUGCAUACCCUGCUUGAACCUGGCAGAGCCACUGCUAAUUAAACAUCACACCCCAGCUGAAGGCUCGAAGUAUUCCUGUCACUUGCUGUGAGCGCUGCCAAAGUCAUCAUCACAGCCUAAGCGCGGCUGACGGAGAGCAGUCUCUUAACUUCCAUGCCCUCCAUAUCCAGGUGUCUUUGUCCUGUUCCUAGAACACAACGCCGGCCUUUUCUGUGACCUUUGCUGAUUUAAAUCCCCCCCCUCCCCUGCCUUUUCCUCUGUCUGGAAACUUCUU